UACGUAGGGGGCUAGCGUUGUCCGGAAUCAUUGGGCGUAAAGCGCGUGUAGGCGGCCCGGUAAGUCCGCUGUGAAAGUCGGGGGCUCAACCCUCGGAUGCCGGUGGAUACUGUCGGGCUCGAGUACGGAAGAGGCGAGUGGAAUUCCUGGUGUAGCGGUGAAAUGCGCAGAUAUCAGGAGGAACACCGAUUGCGAAGGCAGCUCGCUGGGACGUGACUGACGCUGAGACGCGAAAGCGUGGGGAGCGAAAGGG
rnacentral:rRNA from 1 species